UGCAGUCGGAGUCGGGGAUGAAGUCCGGCUCCCGUAGGAGUCUGGAUGAAGUCUUCCGACAGCCAGAGUCGGGGACGAGGUCUGGCUCCCGUAGGAGUCCGGAUGAAAUCUACCUGCAGUUGAAGUCGGGGAUGAAGUUCGGCUCCCGUAGGAGUCCGGAUGAAGUCUACUUGCAGUUGAAGUCGGGGACGAAGUCCGGCUCC
rnacentral:lncRNA from 1 species